rnacentral:rRNA from 1 species
UACGUAGGGGGCAAGCGUUAUCCGGAAUUACUGGGCGUAAAGCGCACGCAGGCGGUUCGCCAAGUUUGGAGUGACAGUUGUCGGCUCAACCGACAAAGGACUUCAAAAACUGGUGAACUUGAGGACGAGAGAGGAACAUGGAACUCCAGGUGUAGUAGUGAAAUGUGUAGAUAUUGGAAAGACCACCGAUGGCGAAGGCACUCUACUGGGCCAUGACUGACACUGAGAGACGAAAGCUAGGGGAGCAAAUGGG